CGUUCCCAUCCCUGCUUCCCGCACCACUCCUCUGCCCCCGCGGCCCCCGUCGCCGCGCCACUCCUCCGCUCCAGGCCCGCACCGCCAUCGCCGGGGACGAGGUCGCCUCCCUCCGCGCGCGCCGAGGGAGGCGCCCAACUUCCCUGCGAUAGGAGGGGAGGGGCGUGGGCGUCCCCAAGGAACCCGCAGCUUCACGCGUCGCCGCCGUGGAAGGAGGCAAGUUUGCCCAGCGACGGGAGGGGGGAGCGGGAGCGCCCGCAGCUCACGCCCGUGCGCCUCCCCCUCGCUGCACCUCCUGCCGCCGCCCGCUUUCCCCUCUAGCCAGAAGGGGCCGCUCCUGCGGCCGCAGCGCCGGUGCGCCCGCAGCUCCGGUUGGCGAUGGGGCUGGUCCGUACGCCGUCGCAAGGGUCGCUCGCGACCAAGUCCCCGUUACCCACGCCCACGCCACUGUCGCCGCUGACCCCGCGCCCGCGGGCAACAAGAGCAGCCACAGCACGCCCAAGCAGUGCGCGGGGGUCUGGAAGCCGUGGCCCGCGGCCGCGGCCACACACGCCCACGCCACCGGCGCCGCUGAGGUGCUGACCCCCGCACCCGCAGGCAACAAGAGCGGCCACAGCACGCCCAAGCAGCGCGCGGAGGUCUGGAAGCCGUGGCCACUGCUGCACCGACGAAACGACGAUCACUGUGCCGCACUUCGACCCGUCGAGGAGGGCGUCAUGUCGCCCCUGCGCCUCGGAAGACACAUCUCGAUCACCAGCAGCAGCAGCACGCAGCACGCCACUUGUUCUCCUUAGCAGCACGCAGCGGACGCAGCCUCAUGUUCUCGGAUGCAAUUAACCUUAUGAUGAAUGCAUGGAUGAGCAAGGACAAGGUAUUAUGAACUUUGUGCCGUGUUGGCAUCAGCCCUGUACAUUUAUGUAUUUAGACUUUCAGUCACUGGAUACGUUAAUUGUGCUAUACAGUGCAGAAAAUCAUGAUGGCAGUUUGAAAAUUUUGAAUGUCUGAAUGUAAAGCCAUAUCGUCCAUAUUUCUGUAGCAGAAACCAACUAUGCACAAACGUCUCAGAAUCUGAAACAAUUUCUUCGGCUCACUGCAUAUUAACUAACUGUCUAUGCUUCUGCAUUUUUUUUCUUUUUCAGGCUACGAUGGCUACCAUCACAUGCAUUAUCUAACUGGUUACUUUACAAAAUAUCAUGAUUAGUUUUACCUAUGACCAAGUGAUUUUCUAAAUAUCUUGCUCUUCCAGUUAUGUUUGCUGCUUUGUUUUAAUCGCCCUGUAUUGUUUUCUGACAUUGAGGCGCAGGGCUUUGUUCAGAUAUACCUUACCUACUCAGGUAAUUGCAAAACAAUUUGACAGAUUUGCACACUCAUGCUAUCCUAAGGGAACAUUUAAAUUAAAGAAUGAAAUAUUGGGAGGACUCACUGUUCUUAAGAAUUGAAUAUUAUAUAUGUUCAUAAGGUGAAAAUCCAUGAGAUGGGGAUGCAUUCUAUAUAUACUAGGGUUGCUUGUUUGCCUUUUCCUCACACUUAAAUUCAGGCAACAAGUAGCAACAGAUAUGGUUAUGGUUGCUUUGUUUCUGCAUGCUAACCUGAAUAUUGUCACUUGAUUAAGUUGUGGCCCAAUUUCGCAUGUUCAUCAUAUUAUUGUUUUUAGGGUAAAAUGACUGAAUUUUGGGUGAGAGCUUUCUCGAUAUGAGAUCAUUCUCCUAUUUUUAAAUUUUAUAUCAUGUCCUCUCUUUUUAUCUGGCAAGCAUAAGCAUACAAGGAAACAUAGAAGAUAUUUCUAGGACAUUGUUCCAGAACAAGGAAUGGAGAUAUGAAAGAGUACUAGCAAACCUGGUAAUGAAGUUAGAGAAUCCAAGCUCAUGAAUCCUAUUUUGUUUUUGUUCCAAUAGAUUCCAAAACCAGUUCUUGUUAGCAAAUUUAUAAGCCUUGUGCCAAUAAGACUUUAAUUUUUGGGUAAUGGAGAGGCUCGGUUUGUUUUGCAAAUAGGAUAAUCAUUUCAUUUUACUAACAAAAAAUAUGAUGAUGGCUUAACAAAAUAUAUCAGUGACAAUGCAUGAAACAUGAAGUCUACUUUUGAAGCAAUAGAUUUUACUGAUUUGAGUACGUGAUGUUCAGUUUACAAAUGCUAGGAUCAUUUUUUUUGUGCUAACCAUCGUUAAAAAGUGAAUUUUUCAUUCAGAUAUGCAAUGCUUUCUGAAACAGACCCAGGCUUGAGUUAUCAAAUCAAACACUAAAAUGUUGAUCUGUCAAAUUAGUUAAUACUUUGUUGUAAUUUCUUCAGUGGAUAUUCAGAGCAGUCAAGGAUUCUUGCUUAAACAAAAAUUACAUACUUUAAGCUGCCUCCAACGUUGUAUAUGUUUGUUGCUGAAUUCCUUGUUCCCUUUUUGAAUUGGAUUGACACGUCUUCUUUCCAAAGUUUUAGACAGUUACAGACCACAAGCUAUUGUAGCAAGCAAUUCAAACAAAGAAAGGCAAGAUGUAUAAUAGAUAUAAGAGGGAUGCAUGUUUCCAAGCAUUUGCCUGUUUAAGGCUUAUAAAGAUCAUGCAAUAUUUUUUGAGGUCGUGGCAAGGGUGUACAGGCUACGAGGGAAUGCCAUUUUAAAUAUACCAUGUAAACUAUAUUAUUUACCUUUUCUAAAGUAAGCAAGGUGUGCAAGACCUGGUUAGGUUUGAUUGCCUGAUGUCCAUAUAUAUGAAAAAUAUAUGUUAGGAUCAAUAUACUUUGCUAAUCAUUCUAAUUUUGUCUCUCUGAAAAUUGAAUAAAUUCUUGAUUCAUGACACUAAAGUUUGUCUGACUCUAAUCAAUAUAUGUUAUAGUGCAGGAUCUUUGGUUCAGAAAUGAUAGUCUUGUUUGCAAAAUGGUAAAGGAGCACGAACGACAAGUGGCUACUGCUCUGUGUUCUUUAUUAUUGGGCAAGCAAGUGGCGAGGUAUCCGAGGGCCAUCUAUGGAUCCUCAACAUUAAUUAGAUAAUGGUAUUUAUGUCCAGAUGAAUGCAUUAGUCCAAUUUUAUUAACAAAAAAAAAGUUAGAUUAUCAAGAAGAAGUGUACAAGUCCUGCGUAUUUAUAGAUUAACCUUCUCAGCUUUUUAACACAGUUCUAAGAAUCCAGUUGAUUAUAGUUGUUCACAAGCAUGUAUGAUGGUAUAUUCUUGGAAUUUUUUUUGGCAAAGGGUGAGGAGGAAAAUUUCUGAGAGAACUAGCUGGUCUGCUUGGUGUUUGGUGAAGAUAAAUAACCCUAAGGUGAUUUGUGGUUUUACUUAGCAUCAUUCCUCACUCAGAGUGCUUCAGCUACAUUACACUAUUGUGUAGACACAUCAUGUGACAGAACCGCCAAGUUAAACGGCUUAAUUAAGCGUAAUGGCCAU